rnacentral:rRNA from 1 species
UACGGAGGGUGCAAGCGUUAUCCGGAUUCACUGGGUUUAAAGGGUGUGUAGGCGGGCUAUUAAGUCAGUGGUGAAAUCUCCGGGCUCAACCCGGAAACUGCCAUUGAUACUAUUAGUCUUGAAUAUCGUUGAGGUUGGCGGAAUAUAUCAUGUAGCGGUGAAAUGCUUAGAUAUGAUAUAGAACACCGAUUGCGAAGGCAGCUAACUAAGCGAUGAUUGACGCUGAGGCACGAAAGCGUGGGGAGCAAAC